rnacentral:lncRNA from 1 species
GGAAUAGCGGGGCAGGCUGCCGGCCGGGGCUUUUUAAUAGCCGAAAAUAGAAUCAGAGCAUGUAUUUUGGGAGCAGGAGGCAGGAGGACGCGAACUCUAUUGAUUUUGCAAGUUUCCACUGUUCAUCUGAGCAGCCAGGAAGGAUUCACUUCUCCCACAUUCCUCAAGAACAUCUUGGUGCAUAAAGUGGUUUUGGGUGCGGGGAGAGAAGAUGGGGAAAUUCACCUCUUGGGCUCUGAACGAAGACGGCACGCAGAUGGACAGAAUGCAGUGGACUGGUGCUACCAGUUGUUUUAAAGUCUCACGGAAGCCCUUCUCACACUGAAGCUCACUACCAGACUCAGGACCAGAAAGGUAUUUUCCUUCAGGUUAGAUUGGCCUGUAGUGUUUCUCCUUCCCUUACUUAAUAGCCUGAGGCAACUGCAACUUCCCAAGAUCAUCUGUAAAUUCUACCAAACAAGUUCUCUGCUUCUGCAAGAAGCUAGAAAGUUGUCAAUGACAACAGCACGUGAGACGCUUUCCAUAAUGUGCUGGGACAUGUGCAGCAGUAAUCAAUGGAGCCUGCUGGACUUAGCAUCUAGUGCAUGAUUAUCCUGGUGAUACAGAACCAAUUUUUCCUGAGACCAAUGAAGAGGAUACUAACUUGAUGAUACUUUUCUGUUAUUCCUUAGCAGACAAUGAGUAAGUUUAAGAAGAAAAAAAGUCCAUCUUCUUCUUUUCCCAAUAUAUUUGGCUGGGCGACCCCAGAUAACGCCUCAGAUAAAUUGAGCGUAUCAAGGCACUGAGCGUGUUCAGAUCACCGGACACUGGGACAACACAUACUAUAUAAAGCACUGAUGCAAAGUCAGGACCUAAAAAAGUAGAGAUCAUAGGAUAGUUCAGGUUGGAAAUGACCUGAGGAAGCCUCUAGGCCAACCUCCUGAUCAAAGCAAGGCUGGCUAUGAGGUCAGACCACUUUGCUCAGGGGUUUAUCCAGACUUGUCUUGAAAACCUCCAAGGAUAGAGACUGUACAACCUCUCUGGGCAACCUGUUCCAAUGCUUGACUGUCCUCACGGUAUAAAAGUUCUUCUCUAUGUCCACUAACAUUUAAGUUACUGGGAAUGAAGUUUUAUUUAAGAUUUCUUAAGCUACUGUCCUACCUUCAGCCACUUCCCUCUAAGUACCUUGCAGAGAGCUGAAAUCUUGAUCCUCCAGAGACUUACAAAUCUAUGUAACAUUUGUGAGCAAUUCCAUAAAACUCUUUGAGAUUGCUCGUAAGUAUAUACGAGUGCAAACGUCUUGAAAGACACGGGCUUA